ensembl:lncRNA
GAAAAAUUAACAAAGGAGAGAGGGAGGAAGUAGGUUAAACCUUCUUAAGAAUGCAUCGACUCUGCAGGAAAGUGGGAGAGGUAGGAAGUCACAGACAGCCCUGUUCAAUAAUUAAGAGGACUCAGAGGAAUGAAAGUAUAAGAGCUUUGGGUUCAGCCUGCUAAAAGCUUGUAAGCAUUUCCCAGAGCUGUCUCCAUUUUCAAGACUCCCACAGUUUUAAAGGAACAUUUUCUAUACUCCUCCCUCGCCCCCUCCUUUUCUCCUCUCCCCAUCUCCAACUUCUCUGAAUUAGAAGCCCAGGACACUGUGAGACAUGCCAUAAAGUGGCACAUCUUGCCAAUCCUGAUGAAUGAAAGGCUGGAAAUCCAGCUGUGUGUGAGAAAUCCAGUUGCUUUUAACAAAUUUUCCUUCUAUAAUUUAACGUGGGUCUCAGUACUCUUCCAGCGCAUUAAGCCUUGGUCUCUUUCACCACUUUCCAAGGGCUCAGAAGCAGCCAAUGCCUGCAUUUUCAACCUCCCUUAAACAACUUUGGGGAGAAAUCAGAUUAAAGAUGUAAAGAUGUCAUCACUCUCCUUGGAGAUCAUUUCAAACCUGAGGACAUUCCUUUUUAAUUUAUUAAGAUCUCAUUUUUGGUGUUUGACCCAAGAAAUGUUUGCUUAUUUUAAGGUCACAAAGAUUUUCUCCUGUUUUUCUCUGCAGUUCUCUACCACAGAACCACCUGGGAAGCCCUAAUUGAGACUCCAUCUGGAUGUAGAGCUUUUCCCUGCACCCAAGCCCACUUGGCUGGGGCCCUGACAUUCUGCCUAACUUUGACAGGCUUAUCCAUGGAGGCUGAGCUCUGUUACCUGGACUCUCUCGCUACUCAAGGAGGUUCUGCUAUAUAUCAUUUAAAACCACAGCUCCAUCCGUCUCUUGACUUCUAGUCUAGGCUGAUGCCUAUGGACUCCUUUGGCUGUAUUUCCAU